ACGCGCGCGUUCCCCUUCUUGGUCCUUUUAUUUAACAUAUUGCGUCCACAGCUUUAGGAACCCUAGCCUUUUUCCGUGCAUUCGUCCACAACUUUAUGAACCCUAGCCUCUUUCCGCACAUUUUGCUCUACCAUGUUUACACCUGAAUCCCUUUGACAGCAACACCCUACCUGUUGUUCUUCUAUUGAAGUGGACGAGGUGGACUUCACGGCUCCAACGCCCCGGCUCGACCUUGCAUUUCGUGAAGAAACACAUUGAGCUCAUUUCACAUAAACAAGGUGAGAAGGAAGCUCAUAGAAGAUUGGCUGCCGGUACUAGUUGUAUGCAAAGAUUGGCUCGCCAAUGCUGUCGAUAUUGGUUCCAUUCUUGACAUGAUGAACAAAGUUGCAGCUUGUGCUAAACACUAUGUAGGAGAUGAUGGCACAACCAAGGGCAUUAAUGAGAACAAUAUUGUUGCCAGCUAUAAUGGAUUGCUUCGAAUUCACAUUGGCUUAUAGAAUGAAAUCUAUUUUAUUUAUUUACUUGUUGGCUUCUAUUUAAAAUAAGUUUGCUUCUAUUUUAUAGAAUGAAGGUAAGUUUGCUUAUAUAUAUCACAUUGGCUUA